UACGUAGGUGGCAAGCGUUGUCCGGAAUUAUUGGGCGUAAAGCGCGCGCAGGCGGCCUUUUAAGUCUGAUGUGAAAGCCCCCGGCUCAACCGGGGAGGGUCAUUGGAAACUGGAAGGCUUGAGUACAGAAGAGAAGAGUGGAAUUCCAUGUGUAGCGGUGAAAUGCGUAGAGAUGUGGAGGAACACCAGUGGCGAAGGCGACUCUUUGGUCUGUAACUGACGCUGAGGCGCGAAAGCGUGGGGAGCAAACAGG
rnacentral:rRNA from 2 species